rnacentral:snoRNA from 1 species
UCAAUCUAACCUGAACAAGAUCGGUUUUGUAGGCUCAUCACAGUGUAACCUUGAUAUCUAAGGAGACAGAAACCAAGUCUGGUAGAGGAAAUAUGGCCAUUAGACCUGAGCAUGAUUAACAAUAACAUAACCUUUGAGUCAUGGAGCUGUAGAGAUUCACUCUCAGCCCCAAUCUUGGUGUGCUGGGAUGGUCUAAUUUAUGUUUUAAUCU